AUGGAAAGCUGUACUCUGCAAAGUUAUUUUGAUGCAUCAUGUGGUGUUCAUUGCAAAUAUCCGUGUGAAUUGAGUAAAAAUGAUUGAAAGGAAUUUACAAGAACAGAUUGGACAUAGAGCUCGUGUAAAUUAAGAGGGAAAAAAAUCCGUGAAACGAGAAAGUGUAGUUUGGGAAUAUUACUGUCAUCGUGUUGAUCAGGGUAUCGGCAAUUUUCCUUACUACUGACAUCAGUAUGGUCUAUGUCGGAAGUUUAGCUUCUAAGGUAAUCCACCAGAAUCCAAGAGUAAGACCUCAGAGAGGAGUUGCAGUCCGAUUGUGUCAGCUUACUCAACUUGGAGAGGGAAUAUAAUGUACCGGCGCCACCGGUACAUUUGGACAGCUGUUUGAACAGCUUAAUAGAAUGAUCAAGAACUUGUUUGACUGAAGAGAUAGAAUGAAAAGGGAAGACCCAAAAGUGUUUUAUAACAGAUACUGUGAGAGUACCGGAAUGCGCAAGAUGGCUUGCAUCAUGGUUAUGAAGGAAAAGCUGACAGUAUUUUUGAGACAGCAAGAAAAACAUCAUUGCACACCAUCAACUAAUGACUCCAAAGGAAUAACAAAGAUUAAGAGUACAAAGAAUGGAUUCAAUGCUGGUACUUGGAUAAAGAUAAUCAGGCAUGGGCUCUCAUAUCCCAUGUAUCUUCAGCACCUUUAGGUUACAGUUUUAUAUUUCACUAGAAGAGACUCAUAAAUAAACAAAGGACAGUCAGUUACUACAAAAGAGAAGCAUCGGAGAUUAGUGAUAUUUUGUUCAGCAUUAUUGCAUCUUACAAAAUGUAAUCUAUUAAAAUUUUGUUUACAUCUAUCAAUUAAUGAUUUUGAUACAUGUACCAGUAAUAAAUAAUUUUGAUGUGGGAUAAACUGAUAAAAUUGAAUGGAAAACAAGCAGAUGACUUGGUAAUGAUGUGUAAAAGACAUCAUUCAUUUAAUUAAUACAUGUAAUUGCAUGCAGUUAAAAUUCAGUCAAAAUUCUUGUGGUGUAUAUUGAAAGGUGUAACCAAGAGGGAAACAUAAAAUGAUUUUCAUAUUAUCAUUAAAAUAAAAGUAAAGUUGUAUAUUAUACAAUUAUUUCUGUUUUUGAGGUCAUUACAAUGGUUUGGCUUGCCUAGGUGUAUGCAUUUACUGAUCCUAAAGAAGGAAGUAAAUAUUGUCCCUCGAUGGUUGUUGGAUCAAUAUAUUAACCCCCCCCCCCAAAAUAAAUAAAUGCAAUUUCAAUUCUGUAUAAUACCCUAUGUAUCAUACCCACAGGGUAUGGUGUGUAUGAAACAAGCGUGACCUUUUGAUUUGGCUGUUGGACUUACAAAAAAUUUAUAGGCUGAAAAAAACCCCUCAAAAAUGGGAUAUGAUACUGUUUUUGUAAAUAUGGAUUAUCUCCCUUUUCAGCUUAAAAUUAGAACAUUUUACUGGUCAUGAAAAUAUUUUGAUUAAAUGAAAAGUAAAAUUGUGUUGUAUUUCAAAUUGGAAAAUUGAGAAAUUUUUUUGAAAUGUCAAUUUAUUCGUACAUGCAUACCCGGUAUAUAUUCAUGAUAUGCGUAUAGGGCAUAUAUAUUGGACUGUGACAAAAAAAGGGAAAUUGCCAUUUUUUAUAUGAAACUCGUCAAUCGUUUUUGGAAAAUAAUAAUCAUUUGCACAAAAAUGUUUUAAUUAUUUUAUUUGCUAUAGGGUUUGAUGUCUAUGAAAUAAGCAUGACCUUUUGGUUUGGCUGUUGGGUUUUUUAAUUUUUUGAUAGCUGAAAAUCCUCAAAAAAUUGAUAUUUUGCUGUUUUUGUCAGUAUGGAUUAUCUCCCUUUUCAGCUUAAAAUUGGAACAUCUUACUGGUCAUGAAAAUAUUUAGAUUAAUUAAGAUAGGUAAAUAAUUGUGUUGUAUUUGAGUUUGGAAAUGUAAAGAAAUUGUGUUGAAAUGUCAGUUUCCUUUUACAUGCAUACAUAUAUGGCAUAUAUUGGACUGUGACAAAAAAAGGGAAAUUGCCAUUUUUUGUAUGAAACUCGUCAAUCGUUUUGGGAAAAUAAUAAUCAUUUGCACAAAAAUGUUUUAAUUAUUUUAUUUUCUAUAGGGUAUGGUGUCUAUGAAACUAGCAUGGCCUUUUGGUUUGGCUGUUGGGUUUUUUAAUUUUUUGAUAGCUGAAAAUCCUCAAAAAAUUGAUAUUUUGCUGUUUUUGUCAAUAUGGAUUAUCUCCCCUUUUCAGCUUAAAAUUAGAACAUUUUACUGGACAAGGACAUAUUUUGAUUAAUUAUGAAAAGUUACUACUUGAGCUGUAUUUGAA